rnacentral:tRNA from 1 species
UCCCUGUUGGCGGAAAUGAUAAAGCGUCUGCCUGCAAUGCAGGAGACCCAGGUUUGAUCUCUGGGUUGGGAA